GGAAUCUCAAAUUCUGUUCAAUCAUUCUUUCCUUUCUGAUUGUUCUAUUCUUUUAUCAUUAGCCUGUAUGUAAUAUAUCUCUGAGAAGGGGAGAAACAUAGAAUUGAAUGCACAUUCUUAAGACUUCUUGAAAAGAAAUCAUCAAGUGCUGGAGGGCGACUAUCAUUUGUGCCGAAUCAGAGAACUACAACAAGAGGGAAGGGACGAGCCAAAGAUGUUAGACAUGGUUUCUGUAAAACCAAAUGAGGCAGAGAU
rnacentral:misc_RNA from 1 species